UACGUAGGGAGCGAGCGUUGUCCGGAUUUACUGGGUGUAAAGGGUGCGUAGGCGGUUUUGCAAGUCAGAAGUGAAAUCCAUGGGCUUAACCCAUGAACUGCUUUUGAAACUGCAGGACUUGAGUGCAGAAGAGGAGAGUGGAACUCCAUGUGUAGCGGUGAAAUGCGUAGAUAUAUGGAAGAACACCAGUGGCGAAAGCGGCUCUCUGGUCUGUAACUGACACUGAAGCACGAAAGCGUGGGGAUCAA
rnacentral:rRNA from 1 species